rnacentral:rRNA from 1 species
GUAGGGAAUAUUGGGCAAUGGAGGCAACUCUGACCCAGCCAUGCCGCGUGCAGGAUGACGGCCCUCUGGGUUGUAAACUGCUUUUAUACGGGAAGAAAAAAUACUACGUGUAGUAUACUGACGGUACCGUAAGAAUAAGGAUCGGCUAACUCCGUGCCAGCAGCCGCGGUAAUACGGAGGAUCCAAGCGUUGUCCGGAUUUAUUGGGUUUAAAGGGUGCGUAGGCGGAUCUUUAAGUCAGUGGUGAAAGCCUGCAGCUUAACUGUAGAAUUGCCAUUGAAACUGAAGAUCUUGAAUGUGGUUAAAGUAGGCGGAAUGUAUCAUGUAGCGGUGAAAUGCUUAGAUAUGAUACAGAACACCGAUAGCGAAGGCAGCUUGCUGAACCAUUAUUGACGCUGAGGCACGAAAGCGUGGGGAGCGAACAGGAUUAGAAACCCUAGUAGUCC